CAUUAAACAAUUCUUCCUGCUGCACAUCAAAACCUGUUCUCAGUUACAUAUCUUAUUCUGAGGAACACAUUGCAUGAGUGUGAGCAAGUUUUACAACAUUCUUAACUGGGCUGGCCUGAAAGUCUGGCUGGUGCUGUGACCGAGGCAAUUUCAUAUCUUGAGCUGGGAUCGUCACACACGCAACACUCUACAACUCUGGCAGGCAGCUGUGUACGUGACCAGCUGGGACUUCAUGAAGGAACACCAGUUCCUGGGAGGGGAAAGCACAGGGAAGGAACUUAAAAUGAAAGAUUUCAAAAAUCCCUAUGAACCACAAUGCAAGGGAAGUGUGCCAUUCAGAGGGGCCUCCUUUUCAAGCUGAAUGAUGACAAGGGAAAAUGAAAAUUUCCACAAAGCUUUUCUUUGUAUUUAAUUUGCUUUGGUCUGGGAUGGUAAUGUUUAUUAGUGUUCAAUACAGAGGAGUAUUCUCUGAAUUUUGGGACAUUUUCAUGUCCUUGAGCCAUAUUUGCAACCUUCUCGAUUUUGGUUUCAGUUUGCAGGCUCAGAGUUCAAAGUGAUUUUAUUAAAUACA